rnacentral:tRNA from 1 species
AGGGAUGUGGCUCAGUGGUAGAGCGCUCGCCUAGCAUGCAUGAAGCCCUGGGUUCGAUUCCUCAGCACCACAA